CUGUCGUUUACGCGUUUCUCUCUCUCUCCACGACGAACAUCACAGACAAGGAGGAGGAGACUAGGAAGAUCGAUUUUAUCAAUCUCGAUUGAAAAAAAUGUUUCGGAGAAUUUCCGGUUGUUGGAGGAGCUUGAACGUGGGGAGAAAGGUAUUGGGGAUAGAACUGUGAGCUAUGGAAUGGAUAAUGGAGAUGAUAUCUAUAUGCGUUCUUGGACUGGCACCACCAUUGGUCCUCACAACGUAGUUAUAUCUUUUUCUUUAUCUACUUUUGUCCUCAUAUCUGCAACUUAACUAUGUUAGCAAUUGUUUUAAGAAGCAUUGAUUAAAGUUCUAAGUUAUCUUCAUUACUA